AUUCAAUUGACGAAUCCCAAAUAGAACGAAACGCGCGUCUUGAAU
rnacentral:hammerhead_ribozyme from 1 species